CACACUGCAGGUCCAGGUCACUUCUGUUUAGUUUCCUGCUUUGACCUUGCAGGUCUCUCUUUAAAGCUGCUUAAAGAUUUAACAAGUUAGUAUUUCAUAA